CCGCCCGUCACACCAUGAGAGUUGGUAACACCCGAAGUCCGUGAGGUAACCGUAAGGAGCCAGCGGCCGAAGGUGGGAUUGAUGAUUGGGGUGAAGUCGUAACAAGGUAGCCGUAGGAGAACCUGCGGCUGGAUCACCUCCUUUCUAGGGAG
rnacentral:rRNA from 1 species